ACUCAAAUGAAUUGACGGGGACCCGCACAAGCAGUGGAGUAUGUGGUUUAAUUCGAAGCAACGCGAAGAACCUUACCAGGUCUUGACAUCCCUUUGACCGGUACAGAGAUGUACCUUUCCUUCGGGACAGAGGAGACAGGUGGUGCAUGGUUGUCGUCAGCUCGUGUCGUGAGAUGUUGGGUUAAGUCCCGCAACGAGCGCAACCCUUGAUCUUAGUUGCCAGCAAUUCGGUUGGGCACUCUAAGGUGACUGCCGGUGACAAACCGGAGGAAGGUGGGGAUGACGUCAAAUCAUCAUGCCCCUUAUGACCUGGGCUACACACGUACUACAAUGGCCGAUACAACGGGAAGCGAAGUCGCGAGGCGGAGCCAAUCCUAUCAAAGUCGGUCUCAGUUCGGAUUGCAGGCUGCAACUCGCCUGCAUGAAGUCGGAAUUGCUAGUAAUCGCGGAUCAGCAUGCCGCGGUGAAUACGUUCCCGGGUCUUGCACACACCGCCCGU
rnacentral:rRNA from 1 species